GUCUAUGGCCAUACCACCCUGAACACGCCCAAUCUCGUCUGAUCUUGGACGCUAAGCAGGGUCGGGCCUGGUUAGUACUUAGAUGGGCAGAAGAUCAUCCAGCCCGGUU
rnacentral:rRNA from 1 species